rnacentral:tRNA from 1 species
GAGAACGGCCAGCCAGCAACAAAGACUGCUAAUCUUCGUCCCCCCGGUUGAACUCCGAGGCUUUCUCG